UACAGAGGGGGCAAGCGUUGUUCGGAAUUACUGGGCGUAAAGGGCGCGUAGGCGGCCUGCUAAGUCGAACGUGAAAUCCCCGAGCUCAACUCGGGAACUGCGUCCGAUACUGGCAGGCUUGAAUCCGGGAGAGGGAUGCGGAAUUCCAGGUGUAGCGGUGAAAUGCGUAGAUAUCUGGAGGAACACCGGUGGCGAAGGCGGCAUCCUGGACCGGCAUUGACGCUGAGAAGCGAAAGCAUGGGGAGCGAACAGG
rnacentral:rRNA from 1 species